GUGCCAGCCGCCGCGGUAAUACGGAGGGUGCAAGCGUUAAUCGGAAUUACUGGGCGUAAAGCGCGCGUAGGUGGCUUGAUAAGCCGGUUGUGAAAGCCCCGGGCUCAACCUGGGAACGGCAUCCGGAACUGUCAGGCUAGAGUGCAGGAGAGGAAGGUAGAAUUCCCGGUGUAGCGGUGAAAUGCGUAGAGAUCGGGAGGAAUACCAGUGGCGAAGGCGGCCUUCUGGACUGACACUGACACUGAGGUGCGAAAGCGUGGGUAGCAAACAGGAUUAGAUACCCCAGUAGUCC
rnacentral:rRNA from 1 species